UGGAAGCGAAAGAUUAGCACCUUUAUCAAACUGUGCGAUGAUCUUUGUCUGCCUGUAUGUGGAAAAUGAGAGAAAGUGAAGAAUAAAAAAAAGGGAAAUUCGACAAUAUCUAGUACUGCGACAAACAUGUCUGUAAAAUUUAGGUGAUUGAUUUGUGUUUUUCCACUACUAACAUUUUAUAGCCAUUUCCAACCAUUCAUUCCUCUUCCCUUUUCCAUCUCCAUUACAACCUCAUUCCUCUCCCCUAAAGCUAUAGCACGUACAAUAGAACAAGCAUUAUAAUGAAAGAAAGCAUAUACCCAUUCCACAAUUUUACACCGUCCCACUCAGUAUCGCUACAGUGAGAAAUACUGCCGACAAAGCUUGCAUCGUUUUUCGCACAAUAACGUAAGGAAAGGAGCUCGGCGAUACAAAUACAUUUUGUUUAUUUCUCAUAUACUAUUGCUGCAUGGCCAAAUUGCUUUGCCGACUAACAAAAUGCCAUGCCAUGCCAUGUUUAUGUUACCUGAUGAUUUUUCUGGUCCAAUCUGCACCUGUACUCCAAAACACCUUCACACCUUCACAUACCGGCUACAAGUACCGAAGAAUAACUGCCGAUGCCGCAGCCACUGCAGCCCAUUUUUUCGCAUGCACAUUUAGUGCCGCCGAAAAAGCAGUAGGAUCGACCUCUUUAGCUUUCGUUAGCACGCGAGUGCGCAAUACAACAAACCUUGUACUACUACUAAGUAAGUGUAAAGUAAAGUGUGUGAAAGCGUUGUAAAAGGAAAGGGAAGGAUGAAUUGCUUUCUUACACUAGGACAGAUUAAACC